AACGAACGCUGGCGGCGCGCCUAAUACAUGCAAGUCGAGCGAGAAGACGUAGCAAUACGUUUGUAAAGCGGCGAACGGGUGAGGAAUACAUGGGUAACCUACCCUCGAGUGGGGAAUAACUAGCCGAAAGGUUAGCUAAUACCGCGUACGCUCCUUGGACUUCGGUUCAUGGAGGAAAGCGAUACCGUGGGUAUCGCGCUCUUGGAUGGGCUCAUGUCCUAUCAGCUUGNGGUGAGGUAACGGCUCACCAAGGCUUCAACGGGUAGCUGGUCUGAGAGGACGAUCAGCCACACUGGCACUGCGACACGGGCCAGACUCCUACGGGAGGCAGCAGUAAGGAAUAUUGCGCAAUGGGCGAAAGCCUGACGCAGCGACGCCGCGUGGGGGAUGAAGGUCUUAGGGUUGUAAAGCUCUUUUACCCGGGAAGAUAAUGACGGUACCGGGAGAAUAAGCCCGGCUAACUUCGUGCCAGCCGCCGCAGUAAU
rnacentral:rRNA from 1 species